rnacentral:rRNA from 1 species
GACGAACGCUGGCGGCGUGCUUAACACAUGCAAGUCGAACGGAAAGGCCCUGCUUUUGUGGGGUGCUCGAGUGGCGAACGGGUGAGUAACACGUGAGUAACCUGCCCUUGACUUUGGGAUAACUUCAGGAAACUGGGGCUAAUACCGGAUAGGAGCUCCUGCUGCAUGGUGGGGGUUGGAAAGUUUCGGCGGUUGGGGAUGGACUCGCGGCUUAUCAGCUUGUUGGUGGGGUAGUGGCUUACCAAGGCUUUGACGGGUAGCCGGCCUGAGAGGGUGACCGGCAGCAGUGGGGAUGGGAGGAGGCCGGGUGGGAUCCGGGGGGCAGGAGGGGGGGAGGGGGAUGGAGGGGGGGGGGUCUGAAGAAGCAACGGAGUGUGGGGGAGGGAGGGCUGAGGGUGGGGAAGAGCAUGCACCUGGGACCAAGCGGGCGUCAGGGUGGGUGGGAAAGGAGAACAGGAUAAACAGGUG